AACGUAGGAGGCUAGCGUUAUCCGGAUUUACUGGGCGUAAAGCGCGUGCAGGCGGUUCGCUAAGUCAGGCGUGAAAUCUCUCGGCUUAACCGGGAGGGGACGAAUGAGACUGGCGGACUCGAGGGCAGGAGAGGGAAGCAGAAUUCCCGGUGUAGCGGUAAUAUGCGCAGAUAUCGGGAGGAAUACCAGUGGCGAAGGCGGCUUCCUGGCCUGUUUCUGACGCUAAGACGCGAAAGCUAGGGGAG
rnacentral:rRNA from 1 species